rnacentral:rRNA from 1 species
UGCAAGUCGAACGGAGAAUUUCAAUAAGCUUGCUUAGAGAAAUUUUUAGUGGCGGACGGGUGAGUAACGCGUGGGUAACCUACCCAUAAAGCCGGGACAACCCUUGGAAACGAGGGCUAAUACCGGAUAAUCUUAAGCUUUGGCAUCAAAGUAUAAGGAAAGGUGGCCUCUGAGUAUGCUACCGAUUAUGGAUGGACCCGCGUCUGAUUAGCUAGUUGGUGGGGUAAAGGCCUACCAAGGCGACGAUCAGUAGCCGGCCUGAGAGGGUGAACGGCCACACUGGGACUGAGACACGGCCCAGACUCCUACGGGAGGCAGCAGUGGGGAAUCUUCCGCAAUGGACGAAAGUCUGACGGAGCAACGCCGCGUGUAUGAUGAAGGUCUUCGGAUUGUAAAGUACUGUCUUUGGGGAAGAAUGACUGGUUUGAAAAUAUUGAGCCAGUAUGACGGUACCCAAGGGGGAAGCCCCGGCUAACUACGUGCCAGCAGCCGCGGUAAUACGUAGGGGGCAAGCGUUGUCCGGAAUUAUUGGGCGUAAAGGGCGCGUAGGCGGAUGUUUAAGUCCGGUGUGAAAGAUCAGGGCUCAACCCUGAGAGUGCAUCGGAAACUGGGCAUCUUGAGGACAGGAGAGGAAAGUGGAAUUCCACGUGUAGCGGUGAAAUGCGUAGAUAUGUGGAGG